GUCUAUAGCCAUACCAUCCUGAAUGCACAUUAUCUCUGAUUUUGGAAGCUAAGCAGGGUUGGGCUGGCUAGAUGGGAGACCACCUGGAAAUACUGGGUGCUGUAGGCU
rnacentral:rRNA from 1 species